rnacentral:lncRNA from 1 species
GAUACAACUUGCCUUUUUGGUGCGACUUCAAGUACUUCUCCAGGUUGGACUUCAGGUUCGUCAUAACCUCGCUUUUCUAUCGUAACAAUACAUAAAAAAGACAAGAAAUAAAUAAAAAUCGUAUUACACCAAACAAGGAAACAAACUGAGUAAUACUAUUCCACACGCUCCUACGAGAUCGUAGGUUCGAGAACCACUAAAAUUGGAGUUAAACGUGAUAGUUAUGAAUUAUGUAAGUUUUCUUAUUAAUUUUAUGUCAAAAAUCAUUUUCUAGAUUAUUUUUAUAAUUAUCCAAGGAUUCUACGCUACGGAUAUGAUUUCUAGAAAGCACAGGGACUUAUGUGCUAAAAACAGGACCUACAUGUACUCAUCUUUGAGCUAUGUGGGACGGUGCGCUUAUUUUUAAAAUGUCUAGGAUCACUCUAAUAAAAUGUCCUCGGCUGAAGGGGUACCAAUCCAUCACAGUCGUCCAAUCAGAACCAACGGUCCUGAUUAUAUCUCCUUAACAUCGAAUCGGUACGCAGCGCCAGCCACACGAUCUUCGGCCCUUAAUCAACACGGUGAAGCGUUAUGCCCUUGCAUAAUCCAAGCCGUUCAUCUAGCAUCCUAUGGCUAGCUCUCCUCUUCCACUUUCGAUACCACACCACGGCGCAGGACACUGGGCUCCUCUCGAGGGGUCGCCGGCGGGAUGCAAUCUUGGCGCUCACGUGCCCCUCCCACCACUCUGAUAGAUCCUAUACGACACACAGAGCUAAGACUAGCUCCAACAAGGAGCUCUAAAGGGUCAUGUACCCUAAAUUUAGAGGACGAGGACGUCCUCUACUCCUUCCAGCAACGUUUUCUAAAUAGUCCUCUAAAUUUAGAGAACGCUGCUAGAUCCUCUAUACGUAGAGUUUCUCUAAACGGUUCUCUAUCUAUUUGAAUACUUUAAACAACUGGUUUAAUAAAACUAAAAUAUGUACAAUACAUUUGAGAGUAUGACAAAUACGUAUAUAAAAAUUAAAAAAUUAAAAAUAUCUUUAAUAUAAGUAUUUACAUAUAGAGGACGUGAUUUAGAGGACGUUGUUGGAGAGAAAGUAGAUAUAAGAUAAAAUCUUUUAGAGAACUGUAAAUAACGGAUAUAGAGGAUAUAUAUAGAAGACGUUGCUGGAGACCGUCUAAGCGAGUCAUCUGGGAUAGAACUCACCAGCGGUGGUGUUACUACUGUUAUGGGGAAGUCGGUCCAUGGUACUUGGCAGCGUGGCGACACCCAAAAAAUUCGGCGAGCAAUCCAUGGUUCCCGCACCCCAGAGCUCCAUCGAACGAUUCUUCAUGGCUUGGCGAACCCCCUUGGUCACUUGUCCAGAUUAGCACGGCGGUGCGGAUGGAUUUCGACUUUGGCGGAUCUCUCACCUCCCUGCUCGCCCAUGGCGAAGGCUCGAGGACUCGACUUAAUCGUCCCUAUGGCGAUGCGAUGGGAGGAAGCAAGGGAGUCACAGUCGCUAUAUACUCAGGAACAGAACCCAGAUUGCCAAUCGAAUCCCAAAAUCGUCGCCCAGGGAUCGGCGAAUCGAGACGAACUGAUUUCGC